UCCUAUCACCCUACUAUUGUUGUCAACCUCACAACUUAAUAUUCUUUCUUUGAGAUAUCUCCCAUUGUUUCUUUACUAGUGGUUUCUUAACUUUUGACUACUAUCACUUAUCAACUAUUGAUUUGAGAAGAAAUCUCUUUUGCUAUCUAAAUCUAGUAUUGCAGCCCUAAACCUAAGCUCUAAUAUCAUUUUGCUAACGUCACACAAAGUUGUUUGGAAUGAAGAGGGCUUUAUUAACAAAGUGAUUCAAUAUAUUCAUUGAGGGCAAUCUUGGUCUACAAUUAGAAUGAGGCACAUCGAUAGUUUUCAAAUACAAACGAGAGAGACAAGGAUGGACGAGAGCGUUCGUAGAGGUGAUGACUUCAGCACGGGCUGAUAAUGCCAUCAUAUUAGAACUGCAUCACAUCAAUUGGUAGCGUGACAUCAAUUGGCAGCGUGAGGUUCGGUACUCGCAUCCACAUUCUCAAGCUGUUUCCACAUCGAAGUUGAAUGAAUGUAACAGUCAUUCUCGUAAACCGAAAUCGCGAAGCCGUUCUUGUGUAACACACGCCAUCCAUCGACCACCAUCAGGUGAAGACGCUUGCUGCAGCAAUGGCAGACUCAGUACCGUCUGUUUCUUGCUUAACAUGCGCGAAGAAUGCUGCAACUUCUCGCUUUUGUGCUGCCGGACUUACCUUGGUUGCGAACGAGGGGAACGAAUUAGCCGCUGCCAUGAGUCCAUCGUACCGAUAGAAUGGAUUGCGAUAGGGGAACCAAUCAGCAAACUUUUCUCUCGCAAGAAUGCUGCGAAGGUGGUCUCCUCCUGACAAGGCUAGACAAGCAGACCACGAGCAGCAACAGUGCAAGCCUCCGCAAGGAGACCGGGACUGGCUACAUCUUCACAGGUAUCUAGCCACCAAGAAAUGGUGCGAGGAGCCCUAGGAGCGUUUGAGCUGUUGGGUGCGAAGACCGAUUGCAGACCUGUGGGCGACGAGUUUGGGAGCAAUGUUGGGGAAACUUUUGUGAAGUACGGACCAGGACCCCUGAUGUUGUAAAUUAUCGUGACUCGCUGGUGUACAAUGUCUGGAUGGUUGGCAUGGAUUUCAACAUCUGCAGUCUGUAGGAUUGUGGAUGCAAGUUCGAAUGUUUUGGGAGAGUCUCAAACUUGAACAGAUAGAUAGAUAGUUAGCUAGUUGGUUGGUUUGCCCAUUCAAGGAACAUGAUCUGGCCUCGGACAUUCUUCCCUUUCGACCAUUCUGUGGUCAGUGGUCGACGUGCGAGUUAGUCCGCUGUCAGUUCACUCGCAAAGCAACCGCGCCGCCGUUAAAGUACGCAGUGAUUAUGGAUGCCGAUAUCGCAUUACUGUCCAAACUGCACGUUGGUUACCUGGCUCAGAGUGCGCGGGGAUUCGCGACAGUCGUAUUGAGUGGGCGCUGGAGAAAACGGUGCAGGAGGAGGCAACGACUGAGAUAAUACUGAACGGCUAUGGUGCUAAACACACAAUCGAAGAUAUAAACAACUGAAUAUCAGAAUGGGAUGUGAUCGUGCGGAAGAAAAGUUGCUAGUUCUAUACGGAGUGGACAUGACCCUGGAUUACGGGCUUCACGACUCUGAAUCUGCAGGCAUUCGUACUUUUACGUGGUGUCGUAAGGACGUGGCCAGCGUGAAGUUCUGAUGAGGGGCUCUCUCUGUUCCAUAUUAAUUAGUUUGUACUCAUGGAAAAUCAUUGCCUUAGUUUUACAUUGAGUCUUUUAUAGAAGUUGUUUUUGAAAGGCCGUGAUAUGAGGGUCCAUGAAAGUUGUGGCUUCUUAUCUUCUUUCCUAAGUAUAAAAAUUUCUUGA